rnacentral:tRNA from 3 species
UUCCUUAAAGUGUAUAAACAUAUUUAAUUGCAAAUUAAAAGUAACUAUAAAAAGUUAAGGAAU